rnacentral:lncRNA from 1 species
GAACUUCUUUAAAGUAAAGGAAGGUCCCACUCCAUCGCUAGUCGCGUUUAGCGAUUAGCAGUUAGGGGCGUAUGAAUCUUUUCUUAACCUGGUUUCUUUCCCAGAGAACUUCUUUAAAGUAAAGGAAGGUCCCACUCCAUCGCUAGUCGCGUUUAGCGAUUAGCAGUUAGGGGCGUAUGAAUCUUUUCUUAACCUGGUUUCUUUCCCAGAGAACUUCUUUAAAGUAAAGGAAGGCCAAUGACCAGAGCUAUCACCAUCACAAAGACUUUCAGUCUUUGCCUCGCUUGACCUGCACCCGCUAACCGACAACUGAGUUUAGUCAGCUAAUGGCGGAGCC